rnacentral:rRNA from 1 species
UACGAAGGGUGCAAGCGUUGCUCGGAAUCAUUGGGCGUAAAGCGAGCGCAGGUGGUUUUGUAAGUCAGGAGUGAAAGCCCAGGGCUCAACCCUGGAAGUGCUUUUGAUACUGCAAAACUUGAGUGUGGGAGAGGGUGCUGGAAUUCCUGGUGUAGUGGUGAAAUACGUAGAUAUCAGGAGGAACACCGGUGGCGAAGGCGGGCACCUGGCCCAACACUGACACUUAGGCUCGAAAGCGUGGGGAUCAAACAGG